GGCGCUAUGGUGUAGUGGUAGCACAUGGGAUUCUGACGUAAUCAAAUUCCCACAACCCAGGUUCGAACCCUGGUGGGGCCU
rnacentral:tRNA from 1 species